rnacentral:tRNA from 1 species
GGUUAUGGCUCAGCGGUAGAGUGCUCGCCUUGGGUGUGCAAGGCCCUGGGUUCGAUCCUCAGCACCA